ACCAUCUUAACUCCAUCAUAAUCUAAAUCUAGCAAAGACUCCAUUUCUGUCAAAUGAGCUUCAAGUCCCACCAUGCCAUUAAAAUCUCUAGAAGGUGUAGCAUUCAGUUUAUCUGAAACAUCUCUAGCAAUCUUCUCUAUCAUUUUGGCUUCAUUAUCCCUAACAAAAGCGAAAGAAAUGACAAGCAUUA
rnacentral:sRNA from 1 species